ensembl:lncRNA
CUGAAAGAAACUGAACUGCCCGUGACUAAAUGAUCUACCUGGUUUCAGAGCAUUUCGUAUUGUUCUGUACAUAAAUCCGAGAUACUCAUUUAGUGUGAUAUGUUACGUUUCGUAUGUGGUUAUAGAGGAUGACGACUUGGAUGAUGUCAUGAAACACAAUGGCCUCCCCAUAUCAAUCAAUAUCUCUCCUGUUGCCUGAACAACUCUGAUAGUGUCCAGACCUCAAGAGGCUAUUGUGCUCAUUUGUGAAAUUCUGAAGUGUGUACCACUUGUUUCUGGACAAUGUCCAAUUCAGGUGCCCAUUGCAAAGUUUACAAUAGUAGCAUGCGCAUCACAUGUAGUUUAGCUCUUCCUGGACACAGGAAGGUCAGUGUCCCAAGGAAAUAGAAGUACAAAACAGUGCAUCUUUGCUUCAGCUGCUGUUCUGGUGUUGAAGGGGGGGACUUUGUGUCCUGAGGAGAGGGGAGCAAUUAGGAUAGAUUUGGGUCCGGACAGGCUGAAACAUAAGCACACAAGAGAAGGCCCUACCCAUCAAGACCUGUCCCUUCAAAAUGAGUGGACCUGUUUGUUUGUUGUUCAGUCUUCAGUGUCUAUAUUUUAAACACUCCAUCCAAGAUGUUAUUUUAAUUUGUGUCAAUCCAACCUAUAUCUAAUUGAGAAAACUGCUACUCAUAGUGCUGGGCAGUGUUUUCACAAUAUUAUUUAUUUUACAUAAUGUACGCUUUUUCAGUGUUUCACAUAUGUUGACAACACUUAUUUUAGUUUUUGACAGUUGACAACACUGUCUCGUUUUGGUGCAAACUAAUUGUAAAAUCUGUUGUAAAACGUGUUAGAUAAACUGAAGGCUUUAAUUUGCCAUUGUAACAUGUCACAAUCAUUGUCUUAGUAUACCAUAUGUUGUACUGUAUGUUACUUUUACCCCUGAGUUGCUAGACAAAAAGAGUUCCCACUGUGAACUAUUCAUGGAACUUUAUGUAUCCCUGCAUCAAGGUGUAAUAUACACAUUUUUUACAACCAGCUUCCUGUUAUAUUCUUCACCAUAAUGCCACAUCUGUUAGAAAAGUCAUGUGGCAUUCAGAUAAGUAGCCUAACUGAUGUUAAACCCAGCUAUGAAGAAGGUCGCUACAUGGAGGAGCAACUCAAGGAAAUUGGUGUAAGACUUACCGAGCUGUGAGGAAUACAUUGUUUUGAUGUAACCAUUGUUCAGUUUGGCUCAGUCUUGUCUCUUUGUCAAGAUUAAUAGAUGUAAAGUUGUAAAAUCUACCCCUCACUAGAGCUAUACAAGCAGG